UGGUGAUGAUGAUGAUAAAUUUAAGGCUUGUUUCUCAAAACAUUUGCAGUUGCCACCUAAGAGCUUUCACCUUGCCAGGAUUGAGUACUAAUGCUGCAAAUGCCAUCAUUGGAUGCCUGAUCCU